rnacentral:rRNA from 1 species
CCUACGGGAGGCAGCAGUGGGGAAUAUUGGGCAAUGGGCGCAAGCCUGACCCAGCAACGCCGCGUGAAGGAAGAAUGUUCUAUGGAUCGUAAACCUCUUUUAUAAGGGAAUAAAGUGAGGGACGUGUCCCGUUUUGUAUGUACCUUAUGAAUAAGGAUCGGCUAACUCCGUGCCAGCAGCCGCGGUAAUACGGAGGAUCCGAGCGUUAUCCGGAUUUAUUGGGUUUAAAGGGUGCGUAGGCGGCCUUUUAAGUCAGCGGUGAAAGUAUGUGGCUCAACCAUAGAAUUGCCGUUGAAACUGGGAGGCUUGAGUAUGUUUGAGGGAGGCGGAAUUCGUGGUGUAGCGGUGAAAUGCUUAGAU